rnacentral:lncRNA from 1 species
CACCAAUCUUGUUUGUGUGGGAGGAUGAGGGCUGUGGAAAUCUAAGGAAGUGCCCCACUCCUGAUCAUUACCAAAGAAUGGAGAAUUUGAUGUCUUGCAACAUCAAAGGAGGAGACGACACACUGGGAUGCCUGCUCUGUGAUUUGUGGAGACUGGCUCCGGUUUAAGGAGAGAAUGCUGUGAUUUAUCUUGCUAAGGCCUCCUUUUCUUCUCCCGAUGAUGAUGGAUGCCCACAGCCACAUCAGAAGACGUCAGGAGACACACAGCACAGAGCUAUGGCAGGAAGGCCACCACACCCUUCCUCCUUAGGGUGAUGGCAGAGGCGCAGGAGAACAGAGAGGAGAUUCCGAGCUGAUGUUCUUGCACUUUCCAGGUAAUUCUGUCGUUCAAGGAAAAGCAAGUGGUUAGAAUCUAGGGCAGGAAUCAGAUACACAGAGAAGGCCUUCACUCACCCAUCUCUUCCAUGCAUGCGGCAAACAGGCCUGGAUCAGAGUGAAGGGCUGUG